rnacentral:rRNA from 1 species
GACGAACGCUGGCGGCGUGCUUAACACAUGCAAGUCGAACGGAAAGGCCCUGCUUUUGUGGUGUGCUCGAGUGGCGAACGGGUGAGUAACACGUGAGUAACCUGCCCUUGACUUUGGGAUAACUUCAGGAAACUGGGGCUAAUACCGGAUAGGAGCUCCUGCUGCAUGGUGGGGGGUGGAAAUUUUCGGCGGUUGGGGAUGGACUCGCGGCUUAUCAGCUUGUUGGUGGGGUAGUGGCUUACCAAGGCUUUGACGGGUAGCCGGCCUGAGAGGGUGACCGGCAACAUUGGGACUGAGAUACGGCCCAGACUCCUACGGGAGGCAGCGGUGGGGAAUAUUGCACAAUGGGCGGAAGCCUGAUGCAGCAACGCCGCGUGCGGGAUGACGGCCUUCGGGUUGUAAACCGCUUUCGCCUGUGACGAAGCGUGAGUGACGGUAAUGGGUAAAGAAGCACCGGCUAACUACGUG